UACGGAGGGUGCAAACGUUGCUCGGAAUUACUGGGCGUAAAGCGCGUGUAGGCGGGCUAGUAAGUCGGACGUGAAAUCCCUGGGCUCAACCCAGGAACUGCAUCCGAAACUAUUAGCCUUGAGUGGUGGAGAGGGAAGCAGAAUUCCUGGUGUAGAGGUGAAAUUCGUAGAUAUCAGGAGGAACACCGGUGGCGAAGGCGGCUUCCUGGACACUAACUGACGCUGAGACGCGAAAGCGUGGGGAGCAAACAGG
rnacentral:rRNA from 1 species